UCAAGUAUUUCCUCGUGGUAAUUGGUAUUGUCAAAUCUGCCAAAACAUGUUCCAAAGAGAAAGUUUUGUUGCAGACAAUGUCCAUGCUGUGGCAGCAGAAAGGGUUGAAGGAGUUGGUCCCAUUGAACAGAUUGCCAGAUGCAUUCGCAUAGUAAAAGAUAGCGAUGCUGAGAUGGGCGGAUGUGUUUUGUGCGGAGGUUCUGACUUCAGCAGAUCAGGAUUUGGUCCACGCACAAUAAUAUUCUGUGAUCAGUGUAAAAAGGAAUACCAUGUUGGUUGUUUGAGAGAUCAUAAGAUGGCAUUUUUAAAGGAGUUGCCAGAAGGGAUUUGGAUUUGCUCUUCCGGAAUCUCUCUUGGAUGUAAUAAAGGUGAAGUAAGAGGAAAUACUUUUAGGACUACCUAAUGAGAUUGAUGUAAGAUGGAGACUUCUUAAUGGAAAAAUUGCUAGCUCUGAAACUAGGCCAUUCCUUUUGCAGGCUGUGUCAAUGUUUCAAGAAAAUUUUGAUGCUAUUAUUGAUCCAGUUAGAGAUUACUUGAAUGUUUUGACCUUAGCCACCACUGCCUUCUUCUUUUUCACCGUUAUGUGCUGUAUCAAACGUGCCAAAGAAUUGGUACUC